CGAUUACCACGGUAGGAUUCAUGACUGGGGUGAAGUCGUAACAAGGUAGCCGUAUCGGAAGGUGCGGCUGGAUCACCUCCUUUCAGAGCU
rnacentral:rRNA from 1 species